GGACUUCAGAGAAUCGUUCCGAGAAUUUUCUGGGAAAAUAUGCAACAGCAGGUCAUAAAACAGAUCUCACAGAGAUAUGUGAGAUCAAUAGGUAUGUGCUUUGGGCCACAUGAAACUUUAAAAAAAUGUAUCUUAAAAUUUAAAAUAGGAAAAUAUUAUGUCAGAAUUCAAAUAGUGACUGAGGAACAGAUAAAUGUGUCUAUCCACACAAUGGAAUAUUAUUCAGCCAUAAAAGGGAAUGAAUACAUGCUACAACAUGGGUGAACCUUGAAACACGCUAAGUGAAAGAAGCCAGUCACAAAAGGAUAAAUAUGCGAACGGAUCCAGGUGUCCACACUGCAUUUAGUUGUCAUGGUUCCGUCUCUUCUGGUCUGUGAGAGUUUCUCCAUCUUUCCUUGUCUGUCAUGACUUUGACAUUUUUUGAAGAGUGCCGGUCAGGUGUUUGGUACAGAUUUGUAGUAUUUGUGGAAAUCUGCUGGAAUGAGUACCCUUGGCCUACGAGGCAGAGUCGGGGGUGGUGAGCUACACCCUGUGGGACAAAUCUAGGCUGCUGCCUGUGUUUGCAGGUCUCCGAGCUAAGAAUGGGUUUCACAUUUUUAAAUGGUUGAAAAAAAAACAAAAGACAAAUAAUAGUCCAUGAUAUGUGGAAAUUAUCAUGAAAUCCAAAUGUCAGUGUCCAUAGGUGAAGUGGGGCUGGGAGGCAGCCACGGGCAUUCUUUUCUGUGUUGUCCCUGGGGGCUUUUGCACUACAAUGGCAGGAUUGGGAAGUCACUACGGAGGCCCUUUGGCCCCAAGAGCCUCAAUAUUUACUCCCUG
ensembl:lncRNA novel transcript